UGAUUGAUGGUUCUAUGGCGUGUGUUCUUGUGUAUGGAGGACGAUAGAUGGGAGAUGGAAGCAACGAAGUCGGCCAUGGAAGUCCAACACUGUGUUACUGCAAAGCAGUUUGUUAGGGACUUGUGGCUGAAAUUGUGUGAAUGUGCACUCACUGUUACACUGUAUCUGAUGGCACUAUUUGGUUUAUUUUGAUUUGUUCACUGUGAAUUUUAUCAUGUGUGUCUUGGUUAAAGUUUAUGUAUUCCCUGUGUGUCUCAUCAUGGUUCUACUGGUUGAUGUUCAUGUACUGACUGUAUGUUUCUCAUAAGAACUGAAAGAGACUUGCUUUCAAAGUUCAGUGGAUUGAAAUUUGCUAUCGUAAUUUUAAUGGCUCUACUUUGUUAAUGUUAAUCUGCUCACUGUUUUUCUCACAAAAAGUAUAAAAGAUGAAGCGCCUCAAAAUGGCAUGUGAUGAAAUUUUUGGUACAAACGCGUGAUCUAUCACUCGCUCCUAUGAUUAAGACCCAUUUUGCGGCAUAUUCUCUGAAUUUUGAUGUUGCAAUGAAAGAGUCACGACUGAUUGUGUGACACAAACACUUAGAUGUCACGGAUGGACGACUACAUUUAUCAAAAAUAUAGAACAGAAUGUAAUGUUUCACUCCAAAUAUCGUUCCAUUUUAAACACAAAGUAGAGGUUUGCAAAAAAGUUUUUUUACUCAGUAAAUAUAUCUCAGGGAAAUAACUACGUAUCAGCUGAUGAUGUCUUAAAUAGAAGACGAAGCGUCAUCUUUAAAACAAAGCUUUUUCCACCAUUGUUUGCUGUAGUAAUUCAACAUUUAGAUUACGAGCUCUCAUCUACAAAAUGAUAGUUGAUGAGUACAAAGCCAAAAUCAACUCUCGCAUCAUGGAAGUUGAGAGCGAGUAAUCUAAUUGUUUUAGUAGAAUCAUACUGGUAUACAUAAAGGAAAGUGUCGCUAUAGUUUUCCUUGAUUUGUUGUUUCAUCAACACAACACAAAAAGAAAAUUCCCAUCUAUAGACAAAAUUUUACCAGCGCUGAAUCAAUGAAUCUUGGUCAGCCUCUAAGGGCCAAUUACAUGAGCCCGGUAGCCGAGAUUUAGCAAAGUGUUAAUCAUUUUGGUAAAUGAAAAAGAUUAAAUACUUCACAUAAAAAACUUAUUUGAGCAAUUUAAGAUUUACAUGGAAAGCGCAUUGUCACAUCAGCCUAGUAGCUAAGUCAGCCCCCCGUCGAGGACCUUAGCCGCUCUGUUGGGGAAUUCCUGGUGCCACCCCUGUUAGAUCCAUCUGUGAUAGCAAUUUUAAUAUACUUGACUGAGCUCCACGAAAAAGCCAAAAAGGUUUAUCAUAUUCGACAAUAAAUACGACUAGAAGCACCAUAUCGGUAUUCACACUACCUAGCAACAAUAAACAAAUUGUUUGCUUUUUAUCAAAAGGUGCAUUUCAUCAUCAUUACAUUAUUAAGCACAUAGAUCAAUUCAUGGUAUUUGACUAUUUGUUAGUAUAGUCAGUGUUUUUGUUUUACUUCACCAAACAACAUAUUAACAAUGAAUACAAAACUGACUAAUUUACUUCAAAACAACUAACCUCACUUCUGCACACUUUUCCAUUGUUAACAUCUUUACAAAAUGUUCCUUCAACAAAUUCUUCAACAGUUGCAGGCUUCCCUUUGUAAACUGUAUAGUAUGAAAAGGUAAAAGUAAAGGAUUUACCAAAGAUUAUCUGAUGCUAAUACAAUAUCGGUAAAAAUCUAAAGGCAUGGAUUUGGCUCACUAGGGGUUGUAUUGCAUAUAAAAAGCUAAAGGAAGCACAAGAGGACACAAACAAUUGGUUAAACAAUUAUCUUCUACAACACAAAAAAGGUGUUCAGAAAGAUACCUUUCAGUUUUUAAUAUUUUGCUCCAAAGAUGAUUCAUUAUUCUUAUCAGCUGGAAUGCUUUGCAGGUGUAGCCUAACAAAAUAUCAAUAACAUAUCUAUUGAAAUUUU